UCACGUCAGAGGCAGCCAAAUCAAGAGUUGGAAAGAUCAAACAUGUCUGAUUUGAGUUCGGCGAAGCUCAGUCUCGAUCAGGAGCAGUUAAAUAAUCUUAAUGACACCACAGAAAAGAGGAUUUUUUGGACAAAAAAAAUUGUUUGCUACAAGCCUCAAAUCGGGCCAUCGGAUAUUGAGAAAUGCAAAUCGGGUUUAAGAUCGCCCUUAAAAUCCUCUAGUGUGCAGCCAGCAUUAAACAUCUGCAACUUUACUUGGCGUCUCUCAGUCCUCUUGACUAUAUGACGUUAGCUCUGGUUAAAUGUUAUAAUGCUACGAUAACACUUCUGCUAUUCAUCAAAAAAAAUAGUAAAAGUGUCUGAAUUCAGAGUACCCAUGCGUCCCUGUUCUUAAUGAGUAUUUACAACACCCUGCAAAGUUAAACACCGGCAAGGAGAGCGUUUAAAGCCUAUAUUACCGCUUUAUCAUGUGGUGUUUGCUUUGACCAUUCGAGGGCGCUGAUUGCUUUAGCAGUUUCAACUCGUGUUAGCGUAAUUGUUUUAUUUAGAGCCAGUACUUGCUCGCGGUAGUUUUACCACAGUGAAAACUAGACCACAGUGAAGUGAACGGCCGCCGCAAGAGCAUCGCUUUCAUUCACCAUCGUAUCACUGAUACGAGCAAUAGUUUUGACGAAAACGAGGUCGCCGCCGCUUAGCAUCCGGAGGAAAAACAUAUCUCAGUUUCCUUUGAAGAUCUUAACUUUAAAGGGGUCAAAAAGAAGAAAUGCACCCAAACAAGUGGAGGCCAAAAAAAGUAAAUAGAAAAUUCCCUCGGAUGGGUAACCACAGCAUCAAGCCACAGCCCCCUAGUCAGGAAGAGGACUGGGAAAAGGAGUUGGAGGAGAUUUCACAACGCAUUGAAAAGCAGAAACAGCCUCCUUAUGAUCCUGGAGAUGAUUUGACUACCGAAGUAAGGGAGAUGUUUCGUUGUAACAUGAAUGGCCCAAGUUCAAACCAGGGACACUACAGCCCAGCAAUUCACCACAUUCAACCUGUGAAAUGGGUCCGGUUUAUUUAUGCUGUAGUGGACGACCAGUUUGCUGAUGCCGAAGAAUAAGGCUGUUAGUUCCUUGUAAACUGUAUGUGUUUACUUACAGAAAAAAAAAAUUGUAAAUUUGCUCAGGCUAAUGUUUUAAGUAGUACUCUUGUUGUUGUUUUUAAUAUUUGAUGUUAAUUUAUAGAUUUUUUUUUUUUUUUUUGCCAGUUGAAGCCAAUUUAUGUUUUAAUCUCUAAGAAAUUUUGAAUUUGAUCACAGUUUCUGUAUAAAAAACCGAAUUACAAUGUUAAUCUGUAUUAAAACAAAGUGACAGGAAGGAAUUGUGUUCUUGUGUUGAUUUAAGGCACAAUAAAGAAUUUUUGGAAUUGAACGAAAAAGGUGCAUUCAUUUGCGCAAUGUGUGUAAUUUCACAUGAGUUUCCACUAGGUGGCAGUAUUGUCUCAGUCUUCAGGAAAGAUUUGUCUUUGGCGUUGGCACUAAUCUCUUAAUAGAGUCACAUAGCUAUGUUGUUCCUUGCUUUUAGAUACAGAUCUCAAAUGUCUCUAUAUCUAAAAAUCAUUCUGGGAUAACAUCAAUCAUCACCUUUAACACAAGUAUUUCCAGUGCUGCUGUCAAAAAAUAAAAGGGGAAAAAAAACUUUACAAAACAAAAAA